rnacentral:lncRNA from 1 species
AAAAAUUUUUUUCCAUCCCUGCUUAGGAUUGAUAGGACUGACUCUUUUCACAUGAGUCCAUAGCGAGAAUCGAACCCACGAACUCAGAGGUGAAAGGAGCUGGUGCUUACUCUGAUGACUGCGCCGUAACUUACUCUGAGACUAUACUCGCCCUCCAGCUAUUCAAAAACAGCACUGACACUCAAGAAGAGCUCAGAUCAGGCCUAGAAAAUAUAUUUAUCUACCUGGCAGCAAAAUUCAAAAAUUAAAAUUUUCCUGUGUAAAUCAACCAUAAAACGUCCUG